UACGGAGGAUGCGAGCGUUAUCCGGAUUUAUUGGGUUUAAAGGGUGCGUAGGCGGACGCUUAAGUCAGCGGUAAAAUUGCGGGGCUCAACCUCGUCGAGCCGUUGAAACUGGGUGCCUUGAGUGGGCGAGAAGUACGCGGAAUGCGUGGUGUAGCGGUGAAAUGCAUAGAUAUCACGCAGAACUCCGAUUGCGAAGGCAGCGUACCGGCGCCCUACUGACGCUGAAGCACGAAGGCGUGGGUAUCGAGCAGG
rnacentral:rRNA from 1 species